rnacentral:tRNA from 1 species
CAAAUUAGAUCUUGAGGAAAGUUUUUUAUUUACAUUAAAAAUAUCGUUGUGCAAUUCAAUGUGAUUUGA